CAGAUUCAAGUCCAACUUUAGGUACCUGAAUUAUGAGCAAGUGUAGGUGCAAAUUUAGGUGUGAGCAAGGAAGGGGAACACUUAGAAAAGAACAAUUAAGAAAGCAUUAAGGAUGCAGGUGCCAAACUGCAAGGCAUUGAAUAGGUUCUCAAUUGAUUGUGUAGCUAAACAGCAAAUAGACUAAAGAUAUGAGGAUAUCAAAUUUUAUAUAAGAUCUAAAGCUUCCAUCCACUUCAUCUACCUAGAUAUAUCUGCUCAAUAGCUAUUGCCAUAGUGACCAUGUAAUGAUUAUGACAAGUGAUCUCCAUCUAUCCACUAUUUCUAUCUUGAACAAUAAUAUAUGUGCUGUAUAUUAGAACCUUAUUGAGAAAUAAUAUCUUUGCCUUUGCCUCAAUAAAAAUUUAUAGAGCACCGAUCUUUAUCAAUAAGAAUGUUGGUGUUGGAAUACCCUAGGGUUAUGAAAGACCUAAUGCUGCCUGCAGGAUUCUUCAAGGUGGAGAUCAAGUGACAACAAGCACAUAUUUUAUGCAUAAUUCAAUAGGAGAACAAGAAAAUAAUAAACCAUAAGAAAAUCAUGGAAACUAGGUUACAUCCAUAGGGCAAGUUGGAAAUCUACGAUGUAAUAUAAUAAUAGAAAUACAAAGUUUUCAUAAAGGUUAAACCAAGAAAAAUCACCUUUUACUAACAACCUCUACUACUACCAUAUUUCAUCAUGUUUACUUGAGAGAACCAGAAGAGAGACCGACACCAAGGGACCUUGCGAGAACUAGCAAUACAAGAGAAGUCCAAUCUGAAAAAUAUGAGAACUCAAGCCAUGUGAAUUGAAAAACCAACCCAGAAGAUGGGGAGAUUCACAUAAGAGCAAGUCACUCUUCUUUUCUCUCCUGCUCACUUUCUUUUUAUCUUCCAUUCCCUAUCCCUCUUUCAUUUUCAUUUUCUUUCUCUAUUACUCUUCCAUUUAGUCAUGCCCCUAAUGUCACAUCAUGGGCCUUGGGGCCUUGCACACCAUCUCAUGAUAAUGUGGACUGUACUCUCUCUUAUAAAGUAGAGAGGCAGCGCCUCUCUACUUCUUAGUUGUACCUUGUGUAUGAGUUCCUUUUGCACUCAUGCCGUGCUUUGCUAGUGACAAUAAGAGCCACUAUUUUCAACAUGCUUUACCUAGCCUUCUAUUUCCAAACAACCUAAAGAAUCACUAGAAGCCUUGAGUUGCCAUCUCUCAAACAAUUGGUCACCUUGGUUGUAUUAGCUUGUUCAACCCUCUUGUGGAAAGUCCUUGAAAUUCCUAAGCCUACCACCAUAAUUGUGAAGACCCGUGCGGGCGUGUGUUUAGUCCCACAUUGGUUAUUCCCUGGGUAGAUCUUGGAUACUUAUACAGGAUCAAGAAAUCCAAAUAAUACCUUCUAGCUAGUCAUUUUGGAUGAGGUCUUGGGUUCUUACAAAUGGUAUCAGAGCGGAUCCGGCCUAUAACCUAUGUGAACUAGGGGACACUGCAGCAUGGAUCUAUUGGGGCUGACCACGGGCUGAUCGUGGUGUUUUUGAUUAGAUUUGAAUGAAUUUGAAGUAGCCUGACGAGGACGUCAGGACUUGAAUGGAGGGAGUAUGUGAGAACCCGUGCGGACGUGUGUUUAGUCCCACAUCGGUUAUUCACUGGGUAGAUCUUGGAUACUUAUANNNNNNNNNNNNNNNNNNNNNNNNNNNNNNNNNNNNNUUUUGGGUGAGGUCCUGGGUUGUUACACUAUGGUUUUAGGACUCUUUUUCUUAUUUGAUUAGAACUAGUAUAGGCCUUACUGGAUAUCAUCUCAAACUACUAGCCAAAUCGAAUUUGUGAAUUGAAGGCUAGGCAAUCUCUUAAGAUGUCGCAUUGCUGACCAUCAAGAAUCAUGGGAUUCUCAUUUCCUCUUGCCCAGUUUGCCUACAACAAUUCCAUCAACUAUUUUACCGGUUGUUCUCCUUUUCAAAUGGUUGCAGGCAAGGUUCGCCGUACCGGUACCGAACCCCGUACCGGUGCCGCACUAGUAUAGGCGUACCUGUAGAAAAAAUUAA
rnacentral:lncRNA from 1 species